GCUCCGGCGGCGUAGGAUAACUCUGCGGCCUAUCAGGUUGUAGCGAGGGUAACGUCCUCGCUAGCCUACGACGGGUAUGGGUGUUGGGAGACAUCGCCCAGAGAUGGAUUCUGAGACACGAAUCCAGGCCCUACGGGGCGCAGCAGGCGCGAAAACUGCACAAUGUGGGAAACCACGAUGCGGGAAACCCAAGUGCCAGCGCUAUGCGUUGGCUGUCCUCCAGUGUUCGUAACUGGGGAAGAAAGUGCUGGGUAAGACGGGUGCCAGCCGCCGCGGUAAUACCCGCAGCACAAGUGGUGGUCAUUAUUAUUGGGCCUAAAGCGUCCGUAGCUGGCUUGUUAGAUGCCUGGGUAAAUCGAUGCGCUCAACGCAUCGAACUCCGGGUAGACCGGCAAGCUUGGGACCGGGAGAGGCGUGAGCUACUCGAGGGGUAGGGGUAAAAUCCUGUAAUCCUUCGGGGAGGACCAGUGGCGAAGGCGUCACGCUAGAACGGCUCCGACAGUGAGGGACGAAGCCCUGGGGCGCAAACCGGAUUAGAUACCCGGGUAGUCCAGGGUGUAAACGCUGCAGACUUGGUGUCGGUGAUCCUACGAGGGUUGCCGGUGCCGUAGAGAAGUUGUUUAGUCUGCCGCCUGGGGAGUACGGUCGCAAGACUGAAACUUAAAGGAAUUGGCGGGG
rnacentral:rRNA from 1 species